rnacentral:lncRNA from 1 species
UCGAAUACUCGUGUAUAAUGUAUUCAUGAAAAAUUGUUCAUUACAACCAAAAUGACCUAACGAUUACCUUAUUUUCAAAUCCAAAUACCAAAUAUGAACAGUAUACUCUACUUCUUUCGUUCAACUUUAGUCCUCUCAUUCUUUGCCGGUGCACCCUUCUUCCUUGCAAGCCUGCCAGUAACCUCACUCUCACUUAUUGAACCAUCUGUUAGCUUCUUUGUGGUGUAGUCCCACAACAGAGCUCCGUAGCGUCUACGGUGUUUGUCAAUAUCAGUAAAAUCUUCCUUUGGUAUAGACAAAUCACCAUUGCUAAUAUACUCCGCAAAGGCAGCCACAAAUAC